rnacentral:lncRNA from 1 species
GUUGAGUUUCCCAAAUUUGAUGGCGUUGAUCCAAAAGCUUGGAUUUUCUCUGCAAUACUGCAUGGUAUUUUUGGACAAAUGGUUUCUAUUGGAUCUAUUCACUUGACAAGUGAUGAUAUUGUUUGGAAUCGUUUGAUGUGGUAUUCUCUUGGCAUCGUGUUAAGUAGGCAGAAUUUUAAUUUUCUUCUGGCGUCACGUGAGUUGUAUUUCGACUUGAGGACAAGCCGAAUUUCAAGAGCGGUGGAAUAUUAGGAACCUAGUACUAUAUUUCUAUUUAUUUGGUUAUUUAUUUAAUUAGGAAGUCUAGGUUAAGUAGGUGUCUUGCUUUCUCCUA